CUUGGUCAUUUAGAGGAAGUAAAAGUCGUAACAAGGUUUCCGUAGGUGAACCUGCGGAAGGAUCAUUAUUGAAUGAACUUGGUGUGGUUGUCGCUGGCCCUCUUGGGGGCAUGUGCACACCUACCAUCCUCAUCUCUCCACCUGUGCACCUCUUGUAGAUUUGGAAUUGAUUAUCCGAGGCAACUCGGUCGUGAGGACUGCUAGCACUUAGCUGGCUUUCUUUGCAAUUCCAGGUCUAUGUUUUUCAUAUACCCCAUUGUAUGUAACAGAAUGUAUCAUUGGGCCCUUGUGCCUAUAAACCUUAUACAACUUUCAGCAACGGAUCUCUUGGCUCUCGCAUCGAUGAAGAACGCAGCGAAAUGCGAUAAGUAAUGUGAAUUGCAGAAUUCAGUGAAUCAUCGAAUCUUUGAACGCACCUUGCGCUCCUUGGUAUUCUGAGGAGCAUGCCUGUUUGAGUGUCAUUAAAUUCUCAACCAAUAUCAACUUUUGCUGAUAAUGGCUUGGAUGUGGGGGUCUAUUUUGCUGGCUUCUCAGAUAGUCAGCUCCCCUUAAAUGCAUUAGCCGGUGCCCCGCGUGGACUGACUAUUGGUGUGAUAAUUAUCUACGCUAUAGACAUCUGCAAUCAUAUGGGUUUGCACUGCUUCUAACAGUCUGUUGAUUCAGACAAAACAUGACAAUUUGACCUCAAAUCAGGUAGGACUACCCGCUGAACUUAAGCAUAUCAAUAAGCGGAGGA
rnacentral:rRNA from 1 species